GUGCCUAAUACAUGCAAGUCGAGCGAACUGAUUAGAAGCUUGCUUCUAUGACGUUAGCGGCGGACGGGUGAGUAACACGUGGGCAACCUGCCUGUAAGACUGGGAUAACUUCGGGAAACCGAAGCUAAUACCGGAUAGGAUCUUCUCCUUCAUGGGAGAUGAUUGAAAGAUGGUUUCGGCUAUCACUUACAGAUGGGCCCGCGGUGCAUUAGCUAGUUGGUGAGGUAACGGCUCACCAAGGCAACGAUGCAUAGCCGACCUGAGAGGGUGAUCGGCCACACUGGGACUGAGACACGGCCCAGACUCCUACGGGAGGCAGCA
rnacentral:rRNA from 1 species